rnacentral:rRNA from 1 species
UACGGAGGAUGCAAGCGUUAUCCGGAAUUAUUGGGCGUAAAGAGCUCGUAGGCGGUUUGUUGCGUCUGCCGUGAAAGUCCGGGGCUCAACUCCGGAUCUGCGGUGGGUACGGGCAGACUAGAGUGAUGUAGGGGAGACUGGAAUUCCUGGUGUAGCGGUGAAAUGCGCAGAUAUCAGGAGGAACACCGAUGGCGAAGGCAGGUCUCUGGGCAUUAACUGACGCUGAGGAGCGAAAGCAUGGGGAGCGAACAGG